UGGCCUCAGGUCAACCAAACAUGCCCGAGUCCUCAGCCCCCAAGUGACACUGGGCCCCGCUACCCCAGCAGGACACAGUCAUAAAUGUGACACGUUACAGUACUCAGGAUUUUUGUCAUUACCAUGAGUGGAGCACAUUACUAAGACAAUGACUUGGUCAACGCCCUCCACGCCCAGACCACCAGGGCCACACCUGUCGUCAGAGAGGAUCGCACUGGAUCAGGACAUGGGAUGAACACAACUCAUGAAGACGGGCAGAGAUGUUGGUACCAGUGGGACCACUCCCCAUACACAUCAUCUCAGACGUGAAGCCCAACCAGCUCCGCCCG